rnacentral:rRNA from 1 species
AGAGAGAGACAUGCGCGCAUAUCAAUAAGCGGAGGAAAAGAAACUAACAAGGAUUCCCUUAGUAACGGCGAGUGAAGCGGGAAGAGCUCAAAUUUGAAAUCUUCAAGGCUCUACCUUGACGAAUUGUAGUUUAAAGAAGUGUUUUCUGUUGAAGUUUUGGUAAAAGUUCUUUGGAAUAGGACAUCAUAGAGGGUGAGAAUCCCGUAUUUGACCAUUAUUUUCAGCUUUGUGAUACACUUUCAAAGAGUCGGAUUGUUUGGGAAUGCAGUCCAAAAUGGGUGGUAAAUUUCAUCUAAAGCUAAAUAUUGGCGAGAGACCGAUAGCGAACAAGUACCGUGAGGGAAAGAUGAAAAGAACUUUGAAAAGAGAGUUAAACAGUACGUGAAAUUGUCAAAAGGGAAGCGUUUGACACCAGUGUUGUUUUCUCGAAAAUCAAUUAAAAAUGGCUCGAUUUUGUAUUGCUUGAGACCUUAAAAGCUCACUGUACAUUUUUCGUGUCUUUUUUAAUGCACUUUUCGUUUAACAAGUCAACAUCAGUUUCUUUUGUUGUAAAAGGGUCAUUGGAAGGUGGCUUUCUUUUCGGAGAAAGUGUUUAUAGCCUUUGGCCUCUGCAAUCGGAGAGACUGAGGUCUGCAGCGUAGACUCUUCGGGGUUAGAUACAUUUGCGCUAAGUUAUAGCUUUUUAUAGACAACUUGUUGACUAUAAUUAGUCUUGUAGCUUACUCGCUUAUGCUAUUUUACCUACGCUUAGGAUGUUGAAGUCAUCGUAUCGCGC